UUCCUUAAUACGAUAUCCAUUUAUUAAUGGUCUUCGUGGAUCUUGAACAUUGCUUCUUGAAUAUUUUCUUAGUCGUCGAAGAACAUAGGAAUAUUUGACGUGAUGGCGAGCAAUCAAAAUAGUACAACAAUUUGUUGUUCGGAAUCAAAUAAGCACAUACGUCAACUAAAUUCAAUCCAUCAUAUUAUUUUCGGAUGGGACAAAUUUAAUACUAUAACUUGGCUACUAUUAUUGCUAUUUUUCUGCAUUUGGUGCAUAGCAUUCUUCAAUAUGUAUCAACCAAUAUCAGAAGAUAAUCAUGAAGAUCAUCAUGAUCAUUAUUGAAAUACAAAAUGCAUAAGAAAAGAUGAUUAGUCGUAUAAAAAUAGAGCAAAAUAUAACAUAAAACUGAAUUAAGGUUAAAUUACUGGAUUCUAACAAAUUUGGUGAAUAACUCGUAUUUUUUGGCACCAAACACAAGGUCGACUGUAAUAAAUUGUUAAACGAGUAUUUAAGCGUCUAUACAAAAAUAUUAUGAUAAAAUGAUUUUUCCGGAACUUGUUUUCGAAUGAAUAAUUUUUUUUUAUAUAGGAAGAGGUCACAAGACAUACCGCUAUGCUUGUAAUUUUUAGAAUUAGAUGUCAAAACGGCAACAAUGAGUUUUGUACGGACAUAUGUGCGCGUAUAUGUAAAUAUCUAUACUUAAGCGGAACUCUUCCGGACUUUGUUUAUUAACAAAUAUAUUUUUUCUGUCAUAAAUAAUCUAAAAUUGUUAAACGGGUAUUUAAGCGUCUAUGCAAAAAUAACAUAUUAAAAAAUAAAAUAAUAUUUAACUAAA